GAGAUGACUUCCUAGUCAGCCCAUGGGCUGUCCAGCGGUCGAGACUUUGGCCAGCACAGUCGGGCAGCUCCACCCCACAGCAGGCAAGGCCCAAGGACUCCGAGAGCUAACAGCCAUCGAAUGUAACAAUGGCCACCAUUUAUUGAGCCCCGAUUAUGUGCCAGGCGCUGUCCUGGGUGCUUUCCACAUUUUGCAGUGACUCAGCCAGUUCAGUGCAGAUUCUCUGUGAUGGCAGCUAUGGAGGAGACCGGGGUAGCUCGACCCCAAAGCAAUUGCUGGUCUAAGGAUGCU
rnacentral:lncRNA from 1 species